GGUGCUUUAAUAGUAAACAUUGGUGAUUUCUUCCAGUUUGUCAGUAAUGACAAGUUUAAGAGUGUGGAGCAUCGCGUACUUGCUAACCCGAUCGAACCAAGAGUGUCAGUUCCAUGUUUCUUCAAACCAAAUAGCACCAAGUUGUAUGGUCCUAUCAAUGAUUUAAUCUCUGAAGAAAAUCCGCGUGUAUACAGAGAUGCUACAUUUACAGAGUAUUUCCUUCAUUUCCGUUCCAUAGGGGUUGGUGGUGAAUCUGCCUUGAACUAUUUCAAGGUGUGAAGCUACAGCAGCGUCAGCCCAAGAUGCAGUAGUUAAACAGCAUGAGGGAAUCUGACUAGUGAGGGUAUUUUCUUAUGAUAAGGAAAGGGUAUUUGCUUUCGAACUAACCUAAAUUGUAAUGCACCUUAAGGUCCAUCUGUAUUACUAUACAAUCCAUUUAACCUUGCCCCAAAAAUAUAUGCACAAUGAAAAUUUGACAAAA